GUGACAAGAAAACCAAGAACCACCUUGUAACCAGUGGAACCAAAUCUCCACCACCAAUCAUACAGCUAGUCUGCAUUUACGUCGCUGUCGUCUGCUGCCAUUCAAAGGAAGAGACAACGUUCGGAGAAAACAACAUCAAUGCGGCGGGACCCACCCCCACCCUCCAAAUCGGGUCCAACUAUCCCCGGUGUCCUCUCCACGUUAAACGCACCAAACCCGUUGGAUAAAAAACAAAAAAGAACCGAAUUCGGCGAUCCAGACGACUCCCACGUGUCUCUACUAUUAUAGCCAUUACACUCGCCCUCACCCACAGCUGUCCCGUUCCACGUCAUGACACACCCGCAGAGUUUAUCCACAUGGAGAUGUCGAUAGAGAGAAACUAUUUAUUCCUCUCGAAGCACUGUCGCGUGGUGCUUCGCAGGUAGCGUUGCAAAUGAAUCGAGCUCGACAAAACUCGACUCGUUUGCAACCUAGGGUUGCAUGGUCGCGCUCCAGGAGCAAUGGAUAGUCACUCGUAUGCCAUCGUUGGAAAGUGGAUGUGUGCAAUUUUGUUCAACCACGCAGUGAUGGGGUAAAUUUACCAAUAUUCGGUAAGUGAGGAAUAAGUUUAGAACAUGUUUGUUACACAUGGAAAUUAACUAGAAAAGAAAAUAAAAGAAAUGACGAAUUUUCUACUCCUCUUGUUUGGUGGUUAAUUAGUGAAACAUUUAAAAAAUAAGGUAAAUUAGAGACUCAUGUUUUUUUUUCUUCAUUUCAGUUUACCAAUAUUCAGUGAGAUAUGUUGUGUGUUCUAAUGUGGAAAUUAGAACUGCUUAUUAUUUAUAAAUUGAUUUGUUUGAAAGGCAUACAAAAAUUCAGCUCGAUGGGUUGUCGCUGCUGAUUGAGGAUUAAUAUUUCUUUGAAUAUGCUUGUAACACAUGGAAAUAAGUAGAACAGAUAAGAAA